rnacentral:piRNA from 1 species
CAAGGGACUCCAGAGGUUUCGAACA